rnacentral:tRNA from 1 species
GACAGCUCAGUUGGUAGAGCAUGAGACUUCUAAUCUCAGAGUCGUUGGUUCUAGCCCCACAUUGGGUGAAAUA